rnacentral:rRNA from 1 species
UACGUAGGGUGCGAGCGUUGUCCGGAAUUAUUGGGCGUAAAGAGCUCGUAGGCGGUCUGUCGCGUCGGAUGUGAAAGCCCGGGGCUUAACUCCGGGUCUGCAUUCGAUACGGGCAGACUAGAGUGUGGUAGGGGAGAUCGGAAUUCCUGGUGUAGCGGUGAAAUGCGCAGAUAUCAGGAGGAACACCGGUGGCGAAGGCGGCUCACUGGCCCGGUACUGACGCUGAGGCGCGAAAGCGUGGGGAGCAAACAGG